rnacentral:lncRNA from 1 species
UUUCCCCGGAAUUCCGGGCAAUUCCCGGGAAUUUUGCAGCUCCACCUGCUCCAUGUGGAGGGCGCUGGGGUCGGAGCCGGCGCUGAAUUCCCAAAUCCUGGAGCUGCUCCUGGAAAAGUUGGAUUCGGAAAUUCCCUACAAGGAGAAGAAAUUCCCGCUGGGAAACGGCGCCGAGCGCGUGGCCACGGCAACGGGGCUGGCGGUGAGUGGUCCAGGGGAUUCCCGGAAUUCCAGAGGGAUCCCAGAAUUCCAGAGGGAUUCCAGAAUUCCAGAGGGAUCCCAGAAUUCCAGAGGGAUCCCAGAAUUCCAGGGGGAUCCCAGAAUUCCAGGGGAAUUCCCAGAAUUCCAGAGGGAUUCCCGGAAUUCCAGAGGGAUUCCCAGAAUUCCAGAGGGAUUCCAGGGGGAUUUUCCAGGAAUUCCAUGGGAAUGGGUUGGGGGGAGGGAUUUGGGGGUUUGGGGAUGGAGGGAGGGGAAAAAUUCCCAGGGAAAAAUUCCCAAAGGGGGAAAUUCCCAAAGGAAAAAUUCCUAGGGAAAAAAUCCAGGGGGAAAAAAUUCCAAGGGGGGGGAAAUUCCCAGGGAAAACCCCAAAAACUUGGAAUUCUCAGCAGGAAAUUCCCCAAAUCCAUGGAAAUCCCAGCAGGAAAAAAACCCCCAAAUCUGGGAAUUCCCGGCAGGAAAAAUCCAAAGUCCAAGGAAAAAAAUCCAAAUCCAUGAAAAUUCCAGCAGGA